GAGUUUGAUCCUGGCUCAGAACGAACGCUGGCGGCGUGCCUAACACAUGCAAGUCGAACGUGAUCCAGAGCUUGCUCUGGUGAAAGUGGCGCACGGGUGAGUAACGCGUGGAUAACCUACCCUGGUAUCCGGGAUAACAUUCCGAAAGGGGUGCUAAUACCGGAUAAGCCCACGGGCUCUUUGGAGCUUGCGGGAAAAGGUGGCCUCUAUUUAUAAGCUACUGUAUCAGGAUGGGUCCGCGUACCAUUAGCUAGUUGGCGGUGUAACGGACCACCAAGGCGACGAUGGUUAGCUGGUCUGAGAGGAUGAUCAGCCAUACUGGAACUGAAACACGGUCCAGACUCCUACGGGAGGCAGCAGUGGGGAAUUUUGCGCAAUGGGGGAAACCCUGACGCAGCAACGCCGCGUGAGUGAUGAAGGCCUUUGGGUCGUAAAGCUCUGUCAGAGGGGAAGAAAUGAUAUAGUGCUAAUACCACUUUAUCUUGACGGUACCCUCAAAGGAAGCACCGGCUAACUCCGUGCCAGCAGCCGCGGUAAUAC
rnacentral:rRNA from 1 species